GCAAGUCGAACGGUAACAGCAGAGAGCUUGCUUUCUGGUUGACGAGUGGCGAACGGGUGAGUAACGCGUAGGAAUUUGCCUGAUAGUGGGGGACAACCUGGUGAAAACCAGGCUAAUACCGCAUACGCCCUAUGGGGGAAAGCGGAGGAUCUUCGGACUUCGUGCUAUCAGAUAAGCCUGCGUUAGAUUAGCUUGUUGGUAGGGUAAUGGCCUACCAAGGCGACGAUCUAUAGCUGGUUUGAGAGGAUGAUC
rnacentral:rRNA from 1 species